rnacentral:rRNA from 1 species
UGCCAGCCGCCGCGGUAAUACGGAGGGUGCAAGCGUUGUUCGGAAUUAUUGGGCGUAAAGCGCGUGUAGGCGGUUCGUUAAGUCUGAUGUGAAAGCCCGGGGCUCAACCCCGGAAGUGCAUUGGAAACUGGCUAACUAGAGUCAUCAAGAGGAGAUCGGAAUUACCAGUGUAGAGGUGAAAUUCGUAGAUAUUGGUAGGAACACCAGUGGCGAAGGCGGAUCUCUGGGGAUGUACUGACGCUCAGGGUCGAAAGCAUGGGGAGCAAACAGGAUUAGAUA